AUUGAACGCUAGCGGCAGGCCUAACACAUGCAAGUCGAACGAGUGGCGGACGGGUGAGUAAUGUCUGGGAAACUGCCUGGUGGAGGGGGAUAACUACUGGAAACGGUAGCUAAUACCGCAUACCAUCAGAUGUGCCCAGAUGGGAUUAGCUUGUUGGUGGGGUAACGGCUCACCAAGGCGACGAUCCCUAGCUGGUCUGAGAGGAUGACCAGCCACACUGGAACUGAGACACGGCCCAGACUCCUACGGGAGGCAGCAGUGGGGAAUAUUGCACAAUGGGCGCAAGCCUGAUGCAGCCAUGCCGCGUGUAUGAAGAAGGCCUUCGGGUUGUAAAGUACUUUUGGCGGGGAGGCGGUACCUGCAGAAGAAGCACCGGCUAACUCCGUGCCAGCAGCCGCGGUAAUAC
rnacentral:rRNA from 1 species